rnacentral:lncRNA from 1 species
UGAAGUGCUUGAAUCUGCACACGGGGUGUAGGGCCAGGGAGUAAAGUGAAUACUCCAACUCAGUGAGUAAUAAUAAUAAAUGCAGACUGAGCAAUAAGAAAUCACAUAAAGGUACAUUGACAGGCUAUAAAGAAGCAGUAAAAGCAAUGAAAAAGUGAAAAUAUGUAAAGUCACUUUAGUUCAGUUUAAGCUUCAUUAAAAAUAUUUUUUUAAUAGUUAAGCAAGUAAAUGACAGGCAACUAGAAAAGAUAAACACAUAAAGUAUUGCCCUCGGGCACAAUACCAACAUAAAUACCCCCCUACCCGACAACACAAAGUACAAUACCAUCCCCUCGGGCUAUAUCUCAUAUAACAAUGGGUACCGCGCUCACUGGGGGUGUACAGACUCCUAGAAUGGCCCCUUACGUCCCAAGAGCAAUAUCAAGCCAUUUCGUGGCAUAAUCAACAGGCCCUCGGCCUCAUAUCAACAAGCCACCUCGUGGCGUACAAUCUCAUACCCUCGACCUCAUAAUCAUAAUCAGUGUAUCACAGCCGCGACGUGCAGCCCAACCCAAACGUAUCCUCACAACACAUACCCUUGUCCUUACUCAAUCAGAAUAUCAUAACCCACUCGGUCAUGAGUAAAACGUGAUGCCUAGCCCAAAUAUCAUUUGCAAAUAUCAUUUAAUGUGUUAAAAGAGAGUAAACAUGGCUGAUUUAUAAAAACAGUAGAACAUAGCAUGACUGAGUGCAAGUAUAAGUCAAAUCAGUGAGAAACUAUUAGUAACAAUCCCGGAAGGAUCCAAAUAGUUAGCGCAAGGCCCAAAUAUGGAAUUCAACCCAAAACAUGAUGAUAGCUAGCAGUUUUCAAUCAAAUAUGCGAUAAAACAGUCAUUCGGGAUGGACUAAGUUAUGAUCCCCAAUGGUGCACGGCCCCACGCUCGUCAUCUAGUAUGUGUGUCACCUCAAUAUAGCACAACGGUGUGAAAUCCGGGGUUUCAUACCCUCAAGACAACACUUACAAUCAUUACUCACCUAAAUCGGGUCCAAACUCUAGCCCGUGACGCCUUUGCCCCUCGAAUCAGCCUCCACUCGCAUUGAAUCUAUCCAAAAUCAGAAUUACGAUGUUAAAAUAUGCUAAGUGAAUGGAGCCCAAGUGAUAUAAUUAAUUUACAACAUAAAUCCCGAAAUUACCAAAAAAGAGACUAAAUAUCUCAAACAUUCUCAAAGCCUUUCCGAACUCGAGCCAACCCGAUCACUUAUAAAACCAAUAAACAAAGCAAUAAGAAACAAAAAUGGAUGAAAUGGAGCGAUAACUCAUGAGACGACUGAUCGGGCCAUCACAAACUUUAUUCACGACGUGAAAUAGGGGAUUAUACUCUUUUUACAUGGAAAGUAUAUCAAUUAACAUAAUAUAUUCCUAAUAUAACUCAAAAACUCAAUUAUAUCACAUAAAAUUUGUAUUUUUUGUUAUAAAAAAGUUUCUCAACCGAAAAAUACCCCAAAAACAUAUUAAUUUUUCGAAAAAUUAUAUAAUACAUCUGAAUACAUAAAUUAUAUUAAUUAAAAAAUAUAUAUGAAUACAUUCAUGGCAUAUAGCGAGAUACGUUAAAAAUACAUUGAAAUAUAUUGACAUAAAAUCAAGUUGCUCAGUCCCAAACCUUGUCGUCUUUGUUCAAGAACAAACCCUAAUUUCUGGUGAAUUGUCAUCGAGCAAUAGUGGCAGAAUAAGGACUCUGUUAAAGCUUGAAUCUUGUAUUGAAUAUGACAGAAGUUGAGAACCUAUAGUUUAUCGCUUCUCCAAUUGGUUUUGGAUAAUGUUGAAGUUCCUGCCAUUGGGAUAAUUAUACCACAAAUCAACAACUUGAAGAUUCCCUUUGGUGUUAUUCAUGAAGAAAAUCGAGUGGAAUUGUUUUGGCCAUGGUGUAGGAAUUGGGUCGCUAGAUUUUGAAGCAUCGAUUAAAGUGAAGAAAAGAGAAGAUGCACUUGGAAGGAUGAGGAGAUCGGAAACCUUAAUGGGAUGGGGGAAGAGAAUGACAUGUAUCAAAGUAGAGAGAGAAAGAAAAUAGUGUAACUGAAUAGUGUAAUUAGUGGCUUAGGGGUAGGAGGUAACCAGAAUUAAAUAUUUUACUAUAAAUAUUAAAAGGUAUCUAUAGAGUAUAAUUUUUAAAUAGUAUUUAUUUAAAAUAAAUAAGAUACUUACCUUGCUACGGGAGAUGAAAAUUUAUUUUUUGAACAUGCUUUGGCAUUGAACCAGCCCUUGUUUUUCAAAAACAAAUGGGCCAGAUUUGUUAUUAGUGAAAAUGGGCCAACUAGUUAGUUGUUUGGCCUUUUAUUGUUGUUAUCGCCAUCUUAUUAAAUACUAAACUAAUACAUUCUGUUCACUUUUACAUUCUUCAUUAAGUCUUUAACAAUUGUUUUUCUACAACAUAAUCAAGAUUCUCAUGAUAUACUACUUAAGAGUUAACAGAGAAAUGCUAAGAGGCAAUAAAUAAAUAAAUAAAAAGUCAUGAAUUUAACAUUACGAUCCAACGCUUGAUUCCAAGAUUGAAAACCUCAACAUUCAUCCAUAUAGUAAAUUUCCUUGCAUAUGCUUCAAAUAAUCUAAACAUGCUCAAAUCCUCAUCAAUUGCUAUACAAAAAAUUGCAUUACAGAGUUUAAUGGUUACCGAGAUCGCAGAAAAUAAUAUAGCAAUGAAGAACGAAAGCUCAACAAUGGAAAACAACAAGAAACAACAGCCAAAUAGCAGCAAAACAAGCAGCAAAUUCGUGUUUAAACAGCCUGAAAACUUUGAGAAGAAAUCCAGAAACAAACUCUAAAGAAGACUCAUAUUUUCUUGAAAGUUUGCACUCUAAGAUUCACUUCCAAAGCUCACCAUUUUAACUUAGUUUCUUUAAGUUCAGCUGCUGAUUUUACUCCUAAAAUUGUAUUUCUUUUUAGUGUGUGUCUCCUCUUCUUCUUCUUUUUUCGUUCUAAAAAUGUAUGUAUUAUAUAUUUAAAACAGCCGGCUAUUUUAUGAUUAAAAAUCUAUCCUUUUUGACAUAUUUAUUCAUAAGAAUCUGCUCUAAAAUCCAAAGUUAAGACUUUCCCGUUCAAUAUUUUCCAAAAGAGAGUAUUUCAACCAAAAUCUGCUCUUCACUAUUCAAAGAUAGACUUUUAUUUAAUAAGUGUCCAAAAGUAUAUAUUUCUUACCAAACAAAUAACUUUUGAGUUUUGUACUCAAAAAAGCCUUGGAGCAGUAAAUAAGCACCCAAACAAGUACCCUAUACUCUCAAGUAUUCCUUCAUUACCUCACUUUCAUCAGUACAAAAUUAUUCUACUACUUCAACAAGUGCAAAAAACAGAAAAUUUAGAAUUACAAUCUUCAAAAAACUAAUGGUGAAAUAAUUAAUAAGAGAUAAAAUAAAAUCUAAAAAACUAAAACUAAAAAUAAAAAAUCAGCAAUACCAAAAAAUAGAAUUUUUACAAUUCAAGUGGCUGAUACAAUGGUGGUAUGUUGAGCGAGGGUGUUCAGGGAGGUCGCCGAAAUUUGAUUGGAUUUUGGUGCCGGAUUCAGGGUAGAAUUGACAUUAAUAACUAGGUCUUGAGGUGCUCUAUUCGUUGAUGUAGGUAUUGUGUGGGUGGGACUGGUCGGAGCUUCAAGAAUUUGGGCAAAGGUGACGGCUAAAGUUUUUUAGAUCUAAGAUUCAAAAAGUUUGAGGUUUUUUUUGAAGGAUUUGGUUUGGAGAUAUGGAAAGAGGAGGUUGCAGAUAUUACAUUGUGUGAAUUUGGAGGUGUUUGGAGGUGGUCCGCCGCCGGUGGGCGAUUUCCGGUGGUGGCGAAGAGGCAACAAAGAGAGAGUGAAGAGAGAGAAAGGAAAAAAGAAUUAUCGGUGAAAAUAGGGAUAAUUUUCAGAUUUUUUAGUCUUUAAA